ACUCCGCACAGAGCCCGGGCCCAACAACCACCGCUUCCUACCGCGGGGUCUCCAGGUGCCACAGCUGCUCAGGUGUUUCCGUUGCCCAGCCCCGACCCCUCCAGGGGAGCCUGGUCGGACACCGGGAGUCCACACCGCGGUGUAGACGACGAAGUCACGGUCGCCUCCUUGGCUCCGCUUCUGCUCCUUCUAGCUGACAAGACCCCUACCAUCCGGAACAAAUGACAGGCACCCGAGGUCAUACCUACAAAAGUCUUCCCAGAUGGGGAAGGAAGAUACGCUCUUCUGCGUCUAUAGCAGUGCAUGUCAACCUUGGCAGCGGACAAAGCCAAAGGCCAUUACAUGUUCCCAGGACAUCCGGCUUUUUGAGACAGACACAGGUAUAUAAGGACUCCUCAGGUAAGGC